rnacentral:tRNA from 1 species
GUCUUCGUGGUGUAGUGGUCAGCACGCUCGGCACGUAUUCGGCAGGUCCAAGGUUCAACUCCCGGCGAAGGCA